rnacentral:rRNA from 1 species
UACGAAGGGGGCUAGCGUUGCUCGGAAUCACUGGGCGUAAAGGGUGCGUAGGCGGGUCUUUUAAGUCAGGGGUGAAAUCCUGGAGCUCAACUCCAGAACUGCCUUUGAUACUGAGGAUCUUGAGUUCGGGAGAGGUGAGUGGAACUGCGAGUGUAGAGGUGAAAUGCGCAGAUAUCGGGAAGAACACCCGUGGCGAAGGCGGU